rnacentral:rRNA from 1 species
UAGGGAAUCUUCCGCAAUGGACGAAAGUCUGACGGAGCAACGCCGCGUGAGCGAAGAAGGUCUUCGGAUCGUAAAGCUCUGUUGUCAGGGAAGAACAAGUACCGUUCGAACAGGGCGGUACCUUGACGGUACCUGACGAGGAAGCCACGGCUAACUACGUGCCAGCAGCCGCGGUAAUACGUAGGUGGCAAGCGUUGUCCGGAAUUAUUGGGCGUAAAGCGCGCGCAGGCGGUUCCUUAAGUCUAAUGUGAAAUCUCGCGGCUCAACCGCGAGCGGCCAUUGGAAACUGGGGAACUUGAGUGCAGGAGAGGGGAGCGGAAUUCCACGUGUAGCGGUGAAAUGCGUAGAGAUGUGGAGGAACACCAGUGGCGAAGGCGGCUCUCUGGUCUGUAACUGACGCUGAGGCGCGAAAGCGUGGGGAGCAAACAGG